AGUGCUCACUUCAGCCACACAUUACUAAAAUUGAAAUGAUAACAGAGAUUAGCAUGACCCCUGCACAAGGUUAACACGCAAAUUCGUGAAGCAGUCCAUAUUUUU